rnacentral:lncRNA from 1 species
AGGAGGCGAAUACUUAUCUAGUGAGUUUGUGACAUAUCUAGGAGAGAAUUGGAUUCUCUCUCGGUGGAUUUCUUUUCAGAACACAGUGUAUCUGAAAGGAGAAGUUGAACUUUGUUAGACAUAGUUCAAUCCACAAUAGGAUUCACUUCUCUGCCUGUUUCAGGAUUGUGCUCUUGUGUGAUUACCUAUUUUACUCUGAAAAUAUACUGAGUAAGUC